ACUCCUACGGGAGGCAGCAGUGAGGAAUAUUGGUCAAUGGGCGCAAGCCUGAACCAGCCAUCCCGCGUGAAGGAAGAAGGCCCUACGGGUUGUAAACUUCUUUUCUGUUUGAAGAAUAAGCUCGUCGAGACGAGUGAUGCCGGUAGGACAGGAAUAAGCAUCGGCUAACUCCGUGCCAGCAGCCGCGGUAAUACGGAGGAUGCAAGCGUUAUCCGGAUUUAUUGGGUUUAAAGGGUGCGCAGGUGGUUUAAUAAGUCAGUGGUGAAAGUCUGGCGCUUAACGUUAGGAUUGCCAUUGAUACUGUUAGACUUGAAUAUGGAUGAGGUAGGCGGAAUGUGUAGUGUAGCGGUGAAAUGCUUAGAUAUUACACAGAACACCGAUUGCGAAGGCAGCUUACUAAUCCAUUAUUGACGCUGAGGCACGAAAGCGUGGGGAUCAAACAGGAUUAGAUACCCUGGUAGUC
rnacentral:rRNA from 1 species